AAUUUUGGACAAUGGGGGCAACCCUGAUCCAGCAAUGCCGCGUGAGUGAAGAAGGCCUUCGGGUUGUAAAGCUCUUUUGUUCGGAAAGAAAUCGCUCAGGCGAAUAACCUGGGUGGAUGACGGUACCGGAAGAAUAAGCACCGGCUAACUACGUGCCAGCAGCCGCGGUAAUACAGAGGGGGCAAGCGUUGUUCGGAAUUACUGGGCGUAAAGGGCGCGUAGGCGGCCUUCUAAGUCGAACGUGAAAUCCCUGGGCUCAACCCAGGAACUGCGUCCGAUACUGGGAGGCUUGAAUCCGGGAGAGGGAUGUGGAAUUCCAGGUGUAGCGGUGAAAUGCGUAGAUAUCUGGAGGAACACCGGUGGCGAAGGCGGCAUCCUGGACCGGUAUUGACGCUGAUGCGCGAAAGCCAGGGGAGCAAAC
rnacentral:rRNA from 1 species